GCGGCUGUCCUUUGGUGUGCCGUACUCUCUCCGUCGUGGCCGUUGCUGCUCCGUUUGAGCAUAGCCACUGCUGUCCAUCUCCGUGUAGCCACCGUCGCUCCUACUUGAUAGACUGAACUGCUGCAUCUCUCUCGGCUUGCUGGUAAUUUUUUUUAUUUCAAAAAUUUUUUUUUUAUUUCAGUAAUUGUUUGAAUAAUUUUGAGAGAUUUUUUAAAGCAUGUUAAUUGUGUAUUCCCUCUAUUCAUGCCAAAAUAAUUUUGAGUAAUUGUUUUAGAUUAUGAGUAAUUGUGUUGAUUUGAAAACAAAACCGUGUGAAUAUAGUUUUGCUACACUUUGAUUUUGUUUGCGGAAUGGAAAAAAAAGGAAGCGAUGAACUGGAAUUGGGGGAUUUAAUUGUUGUUAUGUUGUUGCUUCGUGUGCUUUGUUAUUAUGAGUUUUAAUAAUUUUGAGUAAUUAUUUUAGAUUAUGAGUAAUUGUGUUGAUUUGAAAGCAAAACCGUGUAAAUAUAUUUUUGGUACACUUUGAUUUUGUUUGCGGAAUGAAAAAAAAAGGUAGCGAUGAACUGGAAUUGGGGGAUUUGUAUUAUGCUGCUGCUUUAAUUGUUGCUAUGUUGUUGCUUUGUGUGCUUGGUCAUUAUGAGUUUUAAUAUUUUCUCUAUGUCAUUGAAUCGAAAUGCAAGCUGGAAAUUGUAAUUUCAGAUAAAUAUAUUUGGGGAAAAGGAUGAUUGCCGAAUAGCAUUGUAUUUGUGUUUUAAGGAUGAAGAAUACAAAUAUCUGUUUUUGUUUAUGCCAUGAAAUUCUUUAUGCCAUUAAUUUGAAUUGGUGAAGUUGUAUUGGAAUAUUUUUUAUUUUGGACUGUUGAAUUUUUAAUUUAUGACAUAUUGGUAAAAUGGCUUUCAUGCUAUGUUGAAUUUGAUUAAUUUCAAAAGUUUGAGCUAUGUAUGUUUAGAAGUAGUUUAUUUAAUUUCAUUAAUAUUUGAUACAUGUUAUUUUUUCUAAUUUUCUAGUAACAAGAUAUGGAUCCACAUGAUGUUGAUGGUGAGGAUAGCAAGAUUUGGUUACCAGCGAAUGUCGCAGAGAUGAAUGCUAUAAGAGAUGGGAUUGCAGCUUCUAUGAGGCACGAUUACACAUAAUGCAUAAUGUGUACCAUAUAAUUUUUUAUAAUUAUUUUGUUGAAAUCAUGUGUUGUAAUAUAUAUCUUAAUUAUAGUGUAAAAACAAUGACAAUGUAAAACUUUUUUU
rnacentral:lncRNA from 1 species